UACGUAGGGUGCAAGCGUUGUCCGGAAUUAUUGGGCGUAAAGAGCUCGUAGGCGGUCUGUCGCGUCGGCUGUGAAAUCCCGAGGCUCAACCUCGGGUCUGCAGUCGAUACGGGCAAACUUGAGUGUUGCAGGGGAGACUGGAAUUCCUGGUGUAGCGGUGAAAUGCGCAGAUAUCAGGAGGAACACCGGUGGCGAAGGCGGGUCUCUGGGCAGCAACUGACGCUGAGGAGCGAAAGCGUGGGGAGCGAACAGG
rnacentral:rRNA from 1 species